GCGCAUGCGUGGGAGGCGGGACUAAAAUAAAGCGGGAUGGGUUUCUACUGUGUAACAGCAUGCAAACUUGGGCGGGACAAGACUUCCCCUAUUUUAUCGCCCAGUGGCAUCUUUCUGGAAGGAAACUCCCCCCAGCCAUCUGUAGAGCUGCUGGUGGGGACCUGGAGGUAGAUAUGUCAAAGCUAUGGAGGGAAGGCGAAGCCAGACCCCGAGUUUCCCCAGGAGCCAACAUUUCCCAAGCAGAGACUUAGGCUAAGUCUCCUGCAGCUAUGCUGCCCAAAUCCACAGCCCUGCAAAUCAGACAGAGACAUGUAGGGAAGGACACCUACCUCCCAGCCAAGCAUCGAGGCCACAGGAUCCUAGGCAUACCGGUAGGCUCAGGAGGGCCAAGUCUUGCAGAGGCCACAGGGCAGUGAUGGCAAACCUUCUAGAGCUUUCUGUGAUAGCAGACAGCUGCAGCCUGCGUGCCAGUUUUACCACCACUGCUUUAGGGCAUUUCCAGUUUACACCAAGCAGGGCCCGACCUUCUUCACCCAGGAGAUCCAUGCUGUGAACCCAGCCACCGGUGUAAGGUGACCCAAGUCCCUGGUGGAGUUCGAAUUGUUUACCCGUGACAACACAGAGGCAGAGAGUUCCUUGCAGUCCCAUGUAGAAGAUCUUUUUCCUUCCUUGUGUGGGGAGACUGUUGAAUACGCCCCCCGGCCCUGUGGCAAAUGGGAUAGAUUGUCUCUUUGAGAUGCUCCUAGUCUGAGUGGCUGACUGGGCCAGUAUACUGUUCUUCCGCCACGGCCAGGAGACAGCUGCAUCUGUGUGAUAAGGAGCGGGUGGCCUGUCCGGCUCUUCCACGCCUCUUCGCGAAGGCUUCCAAUCUGUGUCAGCCCAGUGUUGCUGGAAGGAGAGGUUUCAUGCUUUUCAAGGUGAGCGGGAAGUCUGGGACAUCUCCUCCUAAGAAGGGUGCUCUCCUCUCUGAACAAGCCCACAGCGGGAGGACUCUUGGACCCCCAGCACCCCAGCUUGUCAGGGUUACAGGCUGGGUGACCCCGUGACCCUGCCGCUGGGAGCCUGUUCUCUCUGUCUUCCUGGCGAGUCAGGAGCACGGGUCUUGCAGUAAGCUGUGUGGACCAGUGGAAAGACUGGGUGAAAAGCAGGAAGGCAGAACUCAGAGCAAACACCUGCCUGUGUUUAGUUUUCUCAUUUGUAAGAUGAGGACCUGUGUCCUUCCCACCAUGCCAAGUUGUUGAAAGAUUGAAUAAACAUAAAAUCGAUGUUGACUUAUGAACAGAA